rnacentral:rRNA from 1 species
AGCGAACGCUGGCGGCAGGCUUAACACAUGCAAGUCGAGCGGGGAAAGGUAGCUUGCUACCUGACCUAGCGGCGGACGGGUGAGUAAUGCUUAGGAAUCUGCCUAUUAGUGGGGGACAACAUCUCGAAAGGGAUGCUAAUACCGCAUACGUCCUACGGGAGAAAGCAGGGGACCUUCGGGCCUUGCGCUAAUAGAUGAGCCUAAGUCGGAUUAGCUAGUUGGUGGGGUAAGGCCUACCAAGGCGACGAUCUGUAGCGGGUCUGAGAGGAUGAUCCGCCACACUGGGACUGGAACACGGCCCAGACUCCUACGGGAGGCAGCAGUGGGGAAUAUUGGACAAUGGGGGGAACCCUGAUCCAGCCAUGCCGCGUGUGUGAAGAAGGCCUUUUGGUUGUAAAGCACUUUAAGCGAGGAGGAGGCUACCGAGAUUAAUACUCUUGGAUAGUGGACGUUACUCGCAGAAUAAGCACCGGCUAACUCUGUGCCAGCCGCCGCGGUAAAAC